UUACUCCUACCUUGGGGUAGAGAGGCUGUUUCCAAAUAGACCCCCGGCAUCCUUCCCUCCAAGAAUUUCCCACCUUGCUCUUGGGGAGACUCGAACUCACAAACUCUUGGUUGAUUGCAGGCAAUAAAACAGGUUAUUGAUAUGGUAACACUUAAAGGAAAGUCAUACCUUGUUGUUUAUGUGUAUUAGCAUUUUGGCAUUUUCAUUGAAUAUUAUCCUUUCUCCAUUAAACUGGAUCCUGAAAGAUCUGUUAAUAUGUGAAAUAUAUUGGUUCAAAACAGCUAUUUUAAUGCGCAUGAAAAAAGGAACAAAAAUUAAUCCUUUAUCAUUAUGCGUGUUUCCAACACGGAGGAAUGCGAUAUGUAGAUUGGAAUAUGUAAAUGAGGCUGAAUUAUUGUUGGAUCUCAUUGGUUCCCUGCAGAACUAGAAGGAACUAUAGCAUAUUGUUUGGCUUAGGUUGUACAGUUUACAUCACCAUCUUAGCGUUGUGUUUUGUUAACAAAAUUUCUAUCUUACUAAUAAAAAAUAUCAUUACGCAUCUUUUGGACAAGGAAAUGGUGAUACCUUUUGACUCCUGCACAGUCAUAUGGCACAAAAUUUGUAAACCAUCUAAACCAAAUGCCAUUAGUAUAAUGUAGAAGUUCCAUGAAAAUAACCCUUUUCUACAAUUGGAUUUGGCAAUAGUCCCAUAAUUUCUUUUCUUUUCCUUGUACAAAAAUAGCCCCAUACUAUGUUUGCUAAAACUAUUCUGUUCUAUUCCUUUUGAUUUCUUGCAGUUAUUGUUAACGUAAUGAGUCCUUCGCACUCAAAUUCUCUUCCUUAAAUAUUUCUUUAGCACCAUCUCGUCUUCCUCUUUUAUGUUAGAAGAGAAUGGUUCCUGCAAACCUUGAAACAUCUUCUUCAACUGUAUCUUAUCUUCUGUUUCUGUGAUUGACCAUCAAGUGCAAGAGACUUAAAAUGCUUUCUCAAGAUUAGCGGCUGAUAGAACAAACCAGAUGCUGCUUUAUCUUAAAAGACAAAUAUGUUAACAACUAUGUCCGUCUAUUCAAGAGUAAAUUCUUCAUCUCCACGUUGAUUGACCGACUUGGUUAAAUUAAAUUCGUUGAAGGCUCUUAAUAUGAUCAAACCUUAAAUGGGUUCUUAUUUCAUUAUUGAGUAGUAUUUUCUCUUUACUGGAGAUGGAAAUGUAUGUUGUGACUGAUGGAAUGAAAAACACCAGGUACAAUCUCUCUCUCACAUACACGCACACACUCUACGCACACACACUCAACACAUUAGAUUUUUGACAAUCUCCAAGUUGUUUAACAGUCGACAAUCUUGCAAAAAUGAUUUCCCUCUCUAUGAAACAUGUUCUCCCAAUUGUGAUGUGUCGUAGCUUAAUGCCUCUCUCAUUUUUAUGCAGGAGCAGAAAAUACUGAUGAUGAUGAAAGAAUUGAUGAUGUGCAACAAAAUGAUGUUGCUGUUGCGGAAAAGAGUGAUCAAGAAAAGGGAGCGGAUGAUUAGCUAAUGGGUGAUGUUGUUGUUGCCGCUCUGAUAAGCCGUCGAGGUUUCAUAACGUUACUAUUGAGAUACUAUAGAUCUGGAUGACUGCUUCAAGAGAUGGACUUAAGCUCCUUAUGCUUCCACUUUAUUUGGUUGUUAUUAAGGAAAUUAAUAAGUGCUAUUACAACAUGGAACUGGUCUUAACAAUGCAGUCCCUAAUAAGUCUUUGCGGAAAAUAGAGAAAGCAAAUAAAGGUGGUUCACUCUAGAAGUGGUCUUCACACUCAACAAGAAUGCAGUCCCUAAUAAGUCUUUGAGGAAAAUAGAGAAAGCAAAUAAAAGUGGUUCACUCUAGAAGUGGUCUUCACACUCAACAUUAGGUUGUGAGUUGCAGGUGCUCCCAUAUUUAGCUCGGGCUUAGAAUUUAGAGUAUAAGGGUAAUUUUCCUUUGAAUCUAUUCAUAGGUGUACUGGGAUUAGUUCUCAAUACAUAAGUUGAAUUCGCCGUGUAUAUUAAUUAGAUUUAACUGGAAAACCAAAAGGAAAUAAUUGAAAUUUUUAUUCUGGUUCAGUUUUUCAA